rnacentral:rRNA from 1 species
GAUGAACGCUGGCGGCGUGCCUAAUACAUGCAAGUCGAGCGAACAGACGAGGAGCUUGCUCCUCUGACGUUAGCGGCGGACGGGUGAGUAACACGUGGAUAACCUACCUAUAAGACUGGGAUAACUUCGGGAAACCGGAGCUAAUACCGGAUAAUAUAUUGAACCGCAUGGUUCAAUAGUGAAAGACGGUUUUGCUGUCACUUAUAGAUGGAUCCGCGCCGCAUUAGCUAGUUGGUAAGGUAACGGCUUACCAAGGCAACGAUGCGUAGCCGACCUGAGAGGGUGAUAGGCCAAAAUGAAACUGAGACACGGUCCAGACUCCUACGGGAGGCAGCAGUAGGGAAUCUUCCGCAAUGGGCGAAAGCCUGACGGAGCAACGCCGCGUGAGUGAUGAAGGUCUUCGGAUCGUAAAACUCUGUUAUUAGGGAAGAACAAAUGUGUAAGUAACUAUGCACGUCUUGACGGUACCUAAUCAGAAAGCCACGGCUAACUACGUG